UGGCAGGCAGUCGCAGGGUGGAGAGGAGGCCUCAGCCACUGCGGCUCCAAGCCUCUGGGCCAGUGACUGUCUGCUUCAGGCUCCCUGGGGGCAGGGGGCCACUGUGCAGAAGUGACGGGCAAGGGAAGUCAGCAGCUCCUCCCCACCCCAGCAAGGAAACGCCUCCUCUCUGCCACAGGCACCACCAGCACCAGGCGGGCAGGGCUGGGUGGGGUCCUGGGGGAUGAAGCCGUGGCCACUCUGUGCUCCUGAGCUCCAGCUGUCCUGUCCCUUUAGCACAGUGCUGGGAGUGGGAAUCCCUGCUCUGUGCUGGCUCAGCAGGUCCAGAAAGACUAUUUGUAAAUGGCAAGAGUGGUGAGCUCCGCAACAGGACUGAAAUUUCACAGACCUGGAUCCAAAGAGACUCAGAGCCCAUAUCCACAGGGAUAAGGUGUCGCACCAAGCUCUGUACGUGACAUGGUUUAGUUGGCUGCUAACAAAUAUGAAAGAUAAACAUUAAGAUUCUGCACUACCAUCUCUUGUAAGGCCAUGCACAGAAAGGUGAGAUUAUAACAGUAUUGCCAAGCUAACCUUUGUCUUAUCAAGAGUCUUAUCGUCAGUCUCUGCUGGAAAAAUCAAACCUUCAAUUUCUGCUAUUUAAAUAUAUCAGUUUUCUUUGGAUCCUAAUCAGACUGUCUUCAAACAGGAUUGUCCCUUGAUGCCCCUUGCUGGCAUUGUUGAGUGUUUGAAUAAGACAAAAUCCAUGCAUUAUGAUCUUGUCAUGCAAUCAAGCGGGCUCUGGCAGCAAGCAACAAGUGUUUUGUCUCUGAUGUUAUACUCAAACAUCAGAACCAUGCUCCAUGACUUCACUAAAACCAUCUGAAAAGUAUAAGGUGGAUUUAAAAUCUGAAAUGGAAAUAACUAACAGCCUUACAGCAUGCAAAUCAUUGGAUUAAAAAAAUAUGGGAAAAUUGAUGAGUCACCCAGACAUCAAGGAGGAUUCUUACAAAAUAAAAGCUAGCAUUUGCUACUUAGGUUAGGUAUUUUACUGAACCUAUUUUACCACACACAAGAUUAUAUAAAACGGCCUGGCUGGUCGUGGAUAAACACUAUAGGAAAUAAAAACUAGCAGGCAGCUUUUUCGACAAGAGGCCAAAUUCAGUGCUUAAUUUGUGCCAGGGCUUGCUGGGGCUGAGCCCCCAGCAUCUUGGCAGUUCAUAGACCUGGCACCCCGUGGGUUUGCUGAGUCAGUUAUGAAAGUAAAAAAAUUGAUUGAGUCCUGGAACCUCUUUCAUUAUAAAUUAAGCACUGGCCAAAUUCUAUUCUCGCCUAACAUCAGGGAAAAAAAUUUAAAGUAAUUUGAGGGAAAAAAUGGCCCAUGGAUCACCUUAUCCCCUAUCAAUCCUGGAUUGGUCCGGCCUGGUUUGGUCCCUUCAUGGUGCUGUAAUGUGAACAAGCUGACAAUGUUAUUUAUAUUCUGUAGGAACUUCAGAGCCCCAGUCAGAUCAAGGCCCAGUUGUGCUAAGCACUGUACAACAACAAAAAGACAGUCCACCUCCCCAAGACCUUACACUCUAAAAUACACAAGAGGCAAUAGGGGGAUACAAUCAAUGGGAGGAGCACAAGUAAACAAUGAGAUAAUAUUGGUUAGCAUGGCAGGUAGUGGUCUCAGCACCUCAGCUGCCUAUCAGUUAUCAAAAGAGCUCUGUGUAACUUGAAAACUUGUCUCUUUAACCAACAGAAGUUGGUCCAAUAAAAGAUACUACCUCACCUACCUUGUCAAGGUUUUUUGUAGGCAUCACAACUAAGAGUUUUAAAGACAAAUUUGAAGGAGAAUAAUGAGGUGAGCUCUUCCCACAUGUGAAGAGUAGUAUUGGAGAAAGCACAGUGGUGCUUGUUUGAAAGUAUAACAAAAGAUCAGAGAAGGCUGGUAGCAUUGGCAGGUCAGAUGUGGGAGUCGACACAGUGAUAGCAUGAGAGAUGUCAGGUAGGAUUAGACUGAAAAGGGCCUUGAAAGUGAAGAAAAAGAGUUUGUGUUUGAUGCAAUGCAGAAGGGAGAGCCAGUGGAGGGACACAAUGAGAGAGGUGACAUGGACAAUGCAACAAGAUGAUAGCGAAGAAAUUCCCUGGACUCCAUGUUGUAUUCCCAACCUCCAUUUUGUGUCUCUGGCUUCCCUCCUCAAUAAACAAGAGUCACUUCACCAACUGUAAGCUGCAAGUCACUUAUCAUUGGACAAUGUAGGUCACAUGACCAGAGCUGAGCGAUUCCUGGAUUAAGCAUGCCCAGUAGAAUAGAAAGUAAAAUGAAGAAUGGUCACAAAGUAAAUUAAAUCUGAAGCUUGGGCAGUAAGGUUGGAUGAGGUAAUCAUGGCUCUGAAGUAAACAAACACCAGUGAGCAUAAGUAAAAUAAGAUAAUGCUCAACAAUGAGCACAUGCAGUACAAAAUUAGGUGAAAGGGUGUUGGCAGAAAGCCAAGUAGGGAACAGUUAAGCAGCUCCAUCCUGGGCUGAUUUGGAGCUGCUUUUUCUGGUAGCAGCAGACAAAAACCUGACAGCUAGAACAGUAUAAAAGGCAGACAGUCAGCAGGAAGUUAGACAAUUAGGAGAAAGAACAGCUGCUGGAAAGAAGUUAGAAGAGCAGCUGCUGAAGAAGAGAGAACAGACACAAAGCUGCAACAGUAGCAAAGCGGGAGAAACCAUGAGUCCAAGCGGCAACAAUAAUAAUUAAGAAGGGAGCUGACCGAGAGUGAGCUGCAACAGUAGCAGCAGCAACCAGCAACAGUAAACAACACAGCGCUAUCAUAGUGUAAGCUUGCUAAUUUUAACUCUAGUUUAGCAUAAGUAUAGUGUAGUAUUAGUAUGUGCAUGUGCGUGUGUGUGUGUUAAUUGUAUUUUACCUGUGUAAAACUUAAAGUAUAAUUUAAAAACUGCUGUCAGUGAUCUAUUGCACACUGGCCAUCUGCAAUAGAGCACAUCACUUAGAAUCAUUUAACUUGUAUGCUGUUGUAACUUGUAAUAAGGGAUUUGUGUCUGAUUUCUAUUUUUAGAUUACAAUGUAGUAGGGAUUAUUAGUUACAUCAAUAAAAAGAUA